ACUCGUAAGAGUAGCACUCUAACUAGGACUGCUGGUGAUAAACCGGAGGAAGGUGGGGAUGACGUCAAGUCAUCAUGGCCUUUAUGUCCCGGGCUACACACGUGCUACAAUGGCUGGUACAAAGGGUUGCCAAACCGCAAGGUGGAGCCAAUCCCAUAAAGCCAGCCUCAGUUCGGAUUGCACUCUGCAACUCGAGUGCAUGAAGGUGGAAUCGCUAGUAAUCGCGGAUCAGCAUGCCGCGGUGAAUACGUUUCCGGGCCUUGUACACACCGCCCGUCACACCACGAAAGUGGAUUGUACCCGAAGUCGCCAAGCUAACCCUUUGGGAAGCAGGUGCCCAAGGUAUGAUU
rnacentral:rRNA from 1 species